GCCUGCCAUCUUGCACGGGCCACGUGAGCACAGGCUGCAGGCGGCGACAGUCAGCGCUGGGCCCGCCCGGGCUUGCAGACUCGAGCCCCGCAGGCCGGCCCCAGUGGCAGUGGCGCUGGCAAGCCGAAGAAAGGGGACCUUUAUGCCUUUUGGGGGAAGCACACAUUCUGCGAGGCCGUGGAAACAAAGAGAGGAACUGUUUGUAGCCCUAGUCCAGACGUCCCAAACAAACAGAGGCCCUGAACAAGCCCUGGGAGGAGGAGCCACUUCAGAGGAGCUCCCUCUGGCUGGAAAUUUUACACCUGCAGCAAGUAAGUACAGACUUCCUGGAGCCUCAGGCCACAUCACCCCAAGAUGAUGCUGAUGCUGAUAGGUAAGCUCCUUUUCACGGAGCUGGAACAGGAACCCUGAGUUGGAGAAUAUUUGGACCAGCCUCUGCUGCUGCCCUGAAGCGUGUU